CCACACACUUAUAAAGAGGAACCCAAGAAGUUGACUCAGUAUAGUAGCUAGUUUUUAGAUGUAACAUAAUACAUGUACGAUCAUCUCUGACUUUAAUCCUAAGCUACAAAAGGUUUGCCUUGAAUUUGUCUUGAAUUGCAGAUGAUGGCACGCAACAGUACAAGUUCCAGUGGACUGACAACUGUUACUGAAGGCCAAGACAACGGACAAAGACCAGAAACUGUUGCACUGAUAGUGUGUCUGCCUCUGCUUGUGUUUGUAGUUUUAGUUCCAUUGCUGGGAUAUAUUAUCCAUCGUAAAAUCAAACACAUUUCACGCUCAGAACAACUCCCUAAAAUGGAGGGAGCGUCUCAGCAAACACCCGACUCACAUUACAUUGCUGCUCCGGCUCUGGUAGCUCCAUCUACUGUACAAAAUCCCAUCUAUGAGAAUGUCCACAGAGGAUUUCAAGAUGUUUCUCCCAAAAGGCAAUAUAAUCCAGCCACUUCAGUAAUGCCAAGUGGGCAUGAUGACGAUCCGUACAUGAACUGUGAUGUCGCAGAUGAAGCAGUUUACAGCAAUGAUCCAUCUUUCCAAUGUGAAUACAACAUCGAAGACGACUACGUUGUUCCUGACACUUUAUAGGUGUCACAUAAUUAUAUGUUUGUAGCUGAACAUAUAUUUAGGCCUACAUCAGGUUUCUAAAAAGGAAUACAACACUGCAUUUUGUCAUUUCUUGGGAAAAAGUGGCUGUAGACCAUCUACGAAAUUUCCCUUCAUCGUCUUGUCUUGUCUCAUCUCAUCUCAGUUCCCAUCUCUGAUCACUUAUCCAGUACCGGGUCGGGGGAAUAUAGAAGUAUUAUUAUAUAUUUUUCCCUUUUUGUGGAUCGGUAAAGACAACGUGCCAAAUGAAUGUUUUUAAGUUUUGCUUUCCUUCCCGAAACACUCAGCAAUUUCUUUCAAUUUUAAGGAACUAAAAUCUGUGUUUUGCACGUGCCAGCGUUCUUCCAUGUCAUUUAAUGAGCUGUUUUUUUUUAUAAGUGCUUCGUUGUCACACUGGAUUUACAGGACUGCAAAAAAAAAUAUCUGAAACUGCCCAUAUAGUAAUAUUAUUGGGACAACUAUAUAUCCAGCGUCAAUAAAUGACUGUAAAACCCAGGAAAGAAUUCUUCCUGCUGUUUUGCUAUUCGAAGUUUUGAUUCAAGUUUUCAAAUUUAGUUUAUUAUAAAACACCUUUUCAAAAAGCGUGCUUCUGUACAAAAUUAUGAAAGAGAAAGCUGCGGUGUUGUGGUGAAUAAGACAUUUCAACAACAUGCAAUUGUGUGGUUUUUAACUACAGCAAAUAAUCGAGUCCAUUAGACUAUGGUUUGAUUUGAAUGUGGGAGGGGUUUUGCAGCAUGUAAAACGUUUUAUUUACUUUCGGUUCGUUCAUAAACACGCUGUAGCCCUCUUUGGCUUCUUUGAUGAGCUGAAGGCGCCAUCUUGUGGACUCUUACAAAUGAACCCAUUCCCUGCUUCA